rnacentral:rRNA from 1 species
GGGCUACACACGUGCUACAAUGGCGCAUACAAAGAGAAGCGACCUCGCGAGAGCAAGCGGACCUCAUAAAGUGCGUCGUAGUCCGGAUUGGAGUCUGCAACUCGACUCCAUGAAGUCGGAAUCGCUAGUAAUCGUGGAUCAGAAUGCCACGGUGAAUACGUUCCCGGGCCUUGUACACACCGCCCGUCACACCAUGGGAGUGGGUUGCAAAAGAAGUAGGUAGCUUAACCUUCGGGAGGGCGCUUACCACUUUGUGAUUCAUGACUGGGGUGAAGUCGUAACAAGGUAACCGUAGGGGAACCUGCGGUUGGAUCACCUCCUUACCUUAAAGAAGC